rnacentral:rRNA from 1 species
UACGGAGGGAGCUAGCGUUGUUCGGAAUUACUGGGUGUAAAGGGUCAGUAGGCGGUGCGGCAAGUCGGGAGUGAAAUCUCUGGGCUUAACCCAGAGGCUGCUUCCGAAACUGCUGUGCUUGAGUGUGGGAGAGGCGCGUGGAAUUGCAGGUGUAGCGGUGAAAUGCGUAGAUAUCUGCAGGAACACCCGUGGCGAAAGCGGCGCGCUGGACCACAACUGACGCUGAAUGACGAAAGCUAGGGGAGCAAACAGG